rnacentral:rRNA from 1 species
AUGGCCAAUAGCAAGUAUGAGUAUGUGAAGAGGGAGUUCGAGUUCCACCGCCACCUCCCGGCCUCCAACUGGAUCGUCGUCCUCAUCGAUGGCUGCCAUUUCCACCGAUUCUCGGAGUUGCAUGCCUUUGAGAAACCAAAUGAUGAGAGAGCCUUACGAUUGAUGAACGCAUGUGCCACUUCUAUGCUUGAGAAAUUCCCUGACAUAGUGUUUGCUUAUGGUGUUAGCGAUGAGUACAGUUUUGUUUUCAGAGAGAAAACCGAAUUCCAUAAAAGGCGGGAAAGCAAAAUUAUCUCUUUAUGUGUUUCUUACUUCACAUCUGUGUACGGGAUGCAGUGGAAAGAUUUCUUUCCUAAUGAUUUUAAGGAGACUCCAUAUUUUGAUGGGCGAGUUGUAUGCUAUCCAAAUAUAAACACUAUUCGUGAUUAUUUGGCAUGGAGACAAGUGGACUGUCAUAUAAAUAAUCAGUACAAUACAUGCUUCUGGGCGUUGGUGAAGUCUGGAAAAACUGAAAAAGAGGCACAUCAAGCAUUGAAGGGAACAUUUUCUAAGGACAAGAACAAGUUGCUUUUGCAACAGUUUCAAGUCAACUAUAAUGAUGAACCGGCUGUGUUUCGGAAAGGAUCCAGUGUUUAUCGAGACAAGGUUAAAACAGACGACUGUGGGAAUCCCAUAAAAAGAACCCGUGAGGCAAUCACAGUGUCAAGUUUUGAUCUCAUAGGUCCUGAGUUUUGGGAAAACCAUCAAUACAUUCUUGGAGAAGCAUCAGACUACCUGUGUCUUGGGGGGAAAGAAAAAUAUGGAUAUGAGUAUGUGAAGAAGUUCGACGACAUCCAUAGGCUUCCGUAUUCUAAUUGGACCAUUGUUCGUAUUAGCGCCUGCCAGUUUGAUCAAUUCUCACUAAUCCAUUCAUUUGACAAACCAAAUGAUGAGACUGCUUUAAGAUUGAUGAACGCUUGUGCUUCACUGAUGAUGGAGCAAUUUCCUGAUAUUAUCUUUGGCUAUGGUUUUGAUAAUGAGUACAGCUUUGUGUUCCAGGAGAAGACUGAAUUGUACCAGAGAGAUGAGAGAUUAAUCAUUUCUUCAUGUAUAUCAUGUUUCACUUCCUUCUACAUGAUGAGGUGGAAAGAAUACUUCCCCGGUAAAGAACUAGUGCAGUCACCACACUUCCAAGUAGAAGUUUUCUGUUACCCAGAACCAAGGAUCGUUUGUGAUUAUUUGUCCUGGAGGCAAUCAGAAUGUCACAACAGAAAUCAAUACACUACAUGCUUUUGGAUGUUGGUGAAAUCUGGAGAAGGCGAAAACAAAGCUAAGGAGAUACUGAAGGACACAUUACCAAAGGACAAGAAUGAGUUACUUUUUCAGCGAUUUCAAAUGAACUACAACAAUGAACCGGCUAUGUUUCGAAAGGGUUCGUGCGCUUACCGUCAAAAGGUGGAAGCCAGUGAAGAUGAGCGGUGGGAUGUGGCGGUGGCCCACGUAGACAUGGGGCCACACUUUUGGGCAAAGCAUUCUUAUGUUUUCGACAGAAGAUGA